rnacentral:sRNA from 1 species
CGUUUGCUUGCUGUGGGCAGAUGAAGUGGACGUGCGUGUCGAUGCCGCCGGCGGUGAUGAUCUUGCCUUCACCGGCCACGACAUCCGUGCAGCUCCCGACAAUCAUGUUGCUGGCGACGCCGUCCAUCACAUCUGGGUUCCCGGCCUUGCCGAUGCCCACGAUGAUGCCGUCCUUGACGCCGAUAUCCGCCUUGUAGAUGCCCGUCCAGUCCACAAUGAGCGCGUUCGUGAUGACCAGGUCGAGGGUUUCUGCGUCGGACCGUCCGCUCGCCUGCCCCAUG